UACAUUGUGGUCUCCUCCUCGUAUGAUGAGAGAUGAUAGUGUAGUCCCGUCCGUUUAGUCGAUUAUGCGCCACAUAUUUAAAGCGAAGAGCGAACAUCCCUAGUAUGCGUGCCCCUCACUAGUCUAUAACUCUAUAGUUCAUUCGUUCUUUAUGUCAACUACGCGUCACAUAAAAAAAUUUUCCUUUCCUUUUAUUUUUUGUAAAAAGUGUAAUUUACUUCAAAAUGGGGAAGAGAAAGCAUGCAGAUAAAUCUCGUGAACGUUUAUUGGAAAAAAAAAAAAUCAAGAAAUUAGAAGAAUAAGCUCGGACUCCGAUUCGAGGGACGAAGACAUUGUGGCAAGUCCAAUUAUUCAAUCACCUGAAAAUAAGGAAGAACAGUUAGAGGAGAAUGUGUUAGAGAUACUCGGCGUGGCUCCUCAAACAGAAGCAAAAGGAGAGAACCUACAUAAACAAAUUAUUACUAAAGAUUGCUUCUGAAAAGCUUCUAUUAUUUAUGAUAGGUCUAUUAUAAAAUCUAGCAAAGGUUGUUGACUCACCUGUCCAACCAGCCGCUUUUCUAAUAUCAUCUAUGUUUACUCCCUUACUAUAGGCAGCCGACGUUGAAGCGUGGCGAGUGCUAUGUGCUGAGAAUAUACUGAUGUCUAUACCACUCUCUUCCAUAACUUUCUUGACCCAGCGGCUGAUUGUACUAGGUGUUACAGAUUUAUAAGGUCUCCUUAUUGAAAUAAACAAUAGAUUGGA